rnacentral:lncRNA from 1 species
CGCUCGGUCUGGCCGUUCCCGCCUCUGUCCUCUUGCGUUUCCCUCGCCCCCCGCUUUGUUUUCUAAAUUUAAUUUUUUAAUGUGCGGGAUGCCGAAUUUCGUCUCUUUAAACUCCGUGUGGUUCUGCCCCGGUAAACGGGACGGGUCCGUCCCCGUCUCGCACGCUCCCUUACAUGCUCAAUCCACACAGGAAGCAACAGAAGUUUUAACCAUCUUCCCAUGGCAUCUGACUUUUUUGAAGAGGAGGACUUUUCAACCACUUGAUGGAAGGGAAAUAAGAAGUUUGUUUCAAGACUCUUAUGUUGUUCAUCAGUGCUGUUAA